rnacentral:rRNA from 1 species
GCAGUCGACGAUGAACCAUCUUCGGGUGGGGAUUAGUGGCGAACGGGUGAGUAACACGUGGGCAAUCUGCCCUUCACUCUGGGACAAGCCCUGGAAACGGGGUCUAAUACCGGAUACUGACCUGCCAAGGCAUCUUGGCGGGUCGAAAGCUCCGGCGGUGAAGGAUGAGCCCGCGGCCUAUCAGCUUGUUGGUGAGGUAAUGGCUCACCAAGGCGACGACGGGUAGCCGGCCUGAGAGGGCGACCGGCCACACUGGGACUGAGACACGGCCCAGACUCCUACGGGAGGCAGCAGUGGGGAAUAUUGCACAAUGGGCGAAAGCCUGAUGCAGCGACGCCGCGUGAGGGAUGACGGCCUUCGGGUUGUAAACCUCUUUCAGCAGGGAAGAAGCGAAAGUGACGGUACCUGCAGAAGAAGCGCCGGCUAACUACGUGCCAGCAGCCGCGGUAAUACGUAGGGCGCAAGCGUUGUCCGGAAUUAUUGGGCGUAAAGAGCUCGUAGGCGGCUUGUCACGUCGGUUGUGAAAGCCCGGGGCUUAACCCCGGGUCUGCAGUCGAUACGGGCAGGCUAGAGUUCGGUAGGGGAGAUCGGAAUUCCUGGUGUAGCGGUGAAAUGCGCAGAUAUCAGGAGGAACACCGGUGGCGAAGGCGGAUCUCUGGGCCGAUACUGACGCUGAGGAGCGAAAGCGUGGGGAGCGAAC